rnacentral:rRNA from 1 species
UACGUAGGGGGCUAGCGUUGUCCGGAAUCAUUGGGCGUAAAGCGCGUGUAGGCGGUCCGGUAAGUCCGCUGUGAAAGUCGGGGGCUCAACCCUCGGAUGCCGGUGGAUACUGUCGGGCUUGAGUACGGAAGAGGCGAGUGGAAUUCCGUGGUGUAGCGGUGAAAUGCGCAGAGUAUCAGGAAGAACACCCGUGGCGAAGGCGGCUCUCUGGGACGGU